rnacentral:tRNA from 1 species
GGUGAAAUGGCUCAGUGGGUAAGAGCACAGACUGCUCUAUUGAAGGUCCUGGGUUCAAAUCCCAGCAACCA